rnacentral:tRNA from 1 species
AGAAACUUAAGUUAACAAAACUAAGGACCUUCAAAGCCCUAAAUAGGAUACAACCAACCUAGUUUCUG